ensembl:misc_RNA Y_RNA Y RNA
GGCUGCUCUGAUGCGAGUGGAUUAUCAGAACUUAUGAACAGCAGUGUCACUAAACUUGGUAUACAACUCCCACUGCUAAAUUUGACUAACUUAAA